rnacentral:rRNA from 1 species
GAACGCGGUCCAUCCAGUGGCAACACUGGUGAAGACCGAGUGGCGAACGGGUGAGUAACACGUGAGCAACCUGUCCCGAAGACCGGGAUAAGCCUGGGAAACCGGGUCUAAUACCGGAUGCCCCCACCGGGCCGCAUGACCUGGUGAGGAAAGGGAUUUCCGCUUCGGGAGGGGCUCGCGGCCUAUCAGCUUGUUGGUGGGGUAACGGCCUACCAAGGCGUCGACGGGUAGCUGGUCUGAGAGGACGAUCAGCCACACUGGGAUUGAGAACGGCCCAGACUCCUACGGGGGGCAGCAGUGAGGAAUUUUCGUCAAUGGGGGCAAACCCUGAACUGAGCAACGCCGACGUGCAGGAAGAAGGUUUUCGGAUCGUAAACUGCCUUUACCUGGGGAAGAGAACGGACGGUACCCAGGGAAUAAGCCCCGGCUAACUACGUGCCAGCAGCCGCGGUAAG